rnacentral:rRNA from 1 species
GAUGAACGCUAGCGGCAUGCCUAAGGUAUGCAAGUUGUGCGAAAUACCACCUUGGUGGUGGAAAGCGGCGGACGGGUGAGUAACGCGUAGAAACAUACCCCAAAGUGAGGGAUAAUUCCGGGAAACCGGGACUAAUACCGCAUACUGUCUACGGACAAAAGAUUUAUCGCUAUGGGAAUGGUCUGCGUCCGAUUAGCUUAAGUUGGUGAGGUAAAGGCUCACCAAGGCGAUGAUCGGUAGCUGGUUUGAGAGGAUGAUCAGCCACACUGGAACUGAGACACGGUCCAGACCCUACGGGGGGCAGCAACUAGGAAUCUUCCACAAUGGGCGAAAGCCUGAUGGAGCAAUGCCGCGUGCAGGAUGAGGACCUUGGUUCGUAAACUGCUUUUAUAUGUGAAGAUUAUGACGGUAGCAUAUGAAUAAGGAUCGGCUAACUACGUG